rnacentral:rRNA from 1 species
AACGAACGCUGGCGGCAGGCCUAACACAUGCAAGUCGAGCGAGGACUUCGGUUCUAGCGGCGGACGGGUGAGUAACGCGUGGGAAUGUGCCCUUCUCUACGGAAUAGCCCUGGGAAACUGGGAGUAAUACCGUAUACGCCCUAUUGGGGAAAGAUUUAUCGGAGAAGGAUCAGCCCGCGUUGGAUUAGGUAGUUGGUGGGGUAAUGGCCUACCAAGCCGACGAUCCAUAGCUGGUUUGAGAGGAUGAUCAGCCACACUGGAACUGAGACACGGCCCAGACUCCUACGGGAGGCAGCAGUGGGGAAUCUUAGACAAUGGGGGCAACCCUGAUCUAGCCAUGCCGCGUGAGUGAUGAAGGCCUUAGGGUUGUAAAGCUCUUUCAGCUGGGAAGAUAAUGACGGUACCAGCAGAAGAAGCCCCGGCUAACUCCGUG